UACGAAGGGUGCAAGCGUUACUCGGAAUUACUGGGCGUAAAGCGUGCGUAGGUGGUUGUUUAAGUCUGUUGUGAAAGCCCUGGGCUCAACCUGGGAAUUGCAGUGGAUACUGGGCGACUAGAGUGUGGUGGAGGGUAGUGGAAUUCCCGGUGUAGCAGUGAAAUGCGUAGAGAUCGGGAGGAACAUCCAUGGCGAAGGCAGCUACCUGGACCAACACUGACACUGAGGCACGAAAGCGUGGGGAGCAAACAGG
rnacentral:rRNA from 1 species